AUUAAUAAAAUUCUUCACCUUUUCAGACAAAAACACGAAUUGUAUUGCCAUGGAUGAGAGAACAGCUUUUGAAAAAUGAAAAUUGGAUAAUAAAAAGAAAAUGCGAAAUAUGCAUCGGAUGUUGGAGGGAAAUAUUGUAAUUGUUGAUUUGCAUUGAAGAACAGGACACCGGAAGCUUGGACAGAAACACGAAUUGUAUUGCCAUGGAUGGGAUAAUAAAAACAAAAUACGAAAUAUGCAUCGGAUUCUCUUCAAAUGUUACGCAUCCUAAUAUUGAUGACACAUGAUCGGUGUGAAAAUGGGAUAUAUGUUCAACCUCCUCCACAACGAGUCAGCAUUUUGAAUAACAGAGCGGUAAUAAAAAGCAUUGAAGAACAAGACAGCUGGAGCUUAGACAGAAACACAAAUUGUAUUGCCAUGGAUGGGAGAAAAGCUCUUGAAAAAUGAAAAUUGGAUAAUAAAAACAAAACACGAAGUAUGCAUCGGAUUCUCUUCAAAUUUUACGCAUCCCAAUAAUGAUGACACAUGAUCGGUGUGAAGAUGUAAUAAAAGGUGAAGGUAAUAAGAGGCAAAAUAAACAUCCGAAUCUCUUCAAAUUUUACACUUUGGAAUAUUUCUACUAUGGUAUGAAGAUGAUGGAUAUUUCAAAUUCUUAUAACUCUCAUAUCUUGUGGAACAAGUCAGUGAUUAUGUGUGAACUUGUGAUAUAAAAAUAUUUCUGUCAACCAGAGAUCAAGAGUGGAAUUCUGUUUUGAGUUUCCGAUUAAAGUCAGUGAAAUUGAAAUGCUUAUAAUAGCGGUAGUUAACGAGAAAGUUAGCGAUGAAAUCAAGUGUAACUUAUUAUUUAUAUCGAGAUUUUGUGUUUCAAAUUUUUGUCGGUAACUCAAAAAUGAGUUAGAGAAUCCCACUACAGAUGUGCCUUAUGGUAUAUAAGGAAAUUAGUAUCAUCGACUUAAAAUAACUUAUGUAGUUGUUUUAUUGAUUAUAGUGACAGAUUUCCACACAACCCAUGAGGUACUGUCCCUGUGCGUUGCCAUUUGUUUUACUUGGUUGGCUUCCCCUAUAGGCCUACAUACCAAGUUCUAACUUCUUACUACUUGUAAUUAGAACUAAUUAGAUGUAACCAUUACAUAUAAUUUU